rnacentral:rRNA from 1 species
AUGAACGCUGGCGGCGUGCCUAAUACAUGCAAGUCGAGCGAACGGACGAGAAGCUUGCUUCUCUGAUGUUAGCGGCGGACGGGUGAGUAACACGUGGAUAACCUACCUAUAAGACUGGGAUAACUUCGGGAAACCGGAGCUAAUACCGGAUAAUAUUUUGCACCGCAUGGUUCAAAAGUGAAAGACGGUCUUGCUGUCACUUAUAGAUGGAUCCGCGCUGCAUUAGCUAGUUGGUAAGGUAACGGCUUACCAAGGCAACGAUGCAUAGCCGACCUGAGAGGGUGAUCGGCCACACUGGAACUGAGACACGGUCCAGACUCCUACGGGAGGUAGCAGUAGGGAAUCUUCCGCAAUGGGCGAAAGCCUGACGGAGCAACGCCGCGUGAGUGAUGAAGGUCUUCGGAUCGUAAAACUCUGUUAUUAGGGAAGAACAUAUGUGUAAGUAACUGUGCACAUCUUGACGGUACCUAAUCAGAAAGCCACGGCUAACUACGUG